GUGUGUGUGUCUGGUCGAAUACAUCAGGAACCAAGAAGGAGCUCUUGCCAAAACACUAAACACAUAAAUUUGAGUAAAUUCAAGAGGAAUCAAGCAUAGACAUUUGGGGUUUUAACUAAAAUCGUGAUCAACUAGCUUAGGGGAUCACAAGGCAAGGAGGUUGAAUCUUCAAGCGGUCAAGUUGGAGCGGACGCGCGCUUGAAGGAUAAGCUUUGAAAGGUGAAUGACAUAGGCCUCCGGAUGAAGAUCAAGCGACGAAUAAGAACCGAACACACGUCUAAAUGAAGCUUCCGCAUUUGAUCUUGUUUUGUUUUAUAAAAAGUGAAUUAUGUAAACACCUAUAACCAUGUUUUUGAAUGUUUUAAACAUGUCUAAAUAUUUAUGAUGUAAAAGUUUCUAUUAA